AAUUCACAGAUGCUGAUCUUCAGGCCUGAUGCAGAGGAAGGAAAACACAAGGGAGACUCUAAUCCCUAGAACUCAGGACCUGACUUGCAAAGCAUCUGAAUAUAGCCCCUCAUAAGUGACAAUGAGCUGAAAUUGGAAAUUAAGGGAGAUGUUUCUCAUAGCCACUCACACGUACAACACAUGUGUAAUAUGCAACAGAUGCUGAAAUAAGGGGAAACGUGAAAGACAGGCCGUGCUCAUCUUCCCACUGAGCAAAAGGAAAGGCAAUUUUCCUCAGCUCUUAAAGAAGAAAAAUGCAGACCACUCAAAGGCUGCCUUCAGCUCCGAGCAGGAGGAAUCACUUUCCUGAGCACUUUCGUGUGUGGCCACAAUUGCCCUUGUCACCUCAUUCCCCUCUGGGAUUGGGCUUGAUCUUUUAACAUUUCUUUGUCACCAUGAGCUGGAAAAUACAGAUUUAAACAUUGUUGGAAAUGAAGGAACCUGAGAUGCUUUGAACAGCAGGGUAAUGAAACAGCUGUUGAGUUGGAGAGAGGAAGCCUGAUCGUAUCAGAGUGGAUGCCAUCAAAGGAGUUAUGAGCUUACAUGACAGAAAAUUACGUGUACUUGAAAUAUGCCAUUACAAAAUGCCAGCCUGACAUUAAGCUGCUUUACGGAGGUAUCUUGUCCUUAAAUAGCCUGGUGAUUAUCCAUGUCCCUGCAGUGCUGCUUUUCUCCCUGAUUUUGUAAUACCCUCGUGUGUCUUUAAUCACUGCAAAGAGUGUCAUCAACUUGAAAUCAUUCUUCAAAGGAAAUUAAUUUUAAUUUCCAUUGA